GCUGAAGUUGAUAAAACAAUUGGAAGCCCGUAUACUCAUCUAGUAGGAACUCCGCCGCCACCCUACAAGGUGCCAGGUCAUGGAUCACCAAAAGGUGCACCACCUCACGCUUGAGCGCCGCCACAAAAGUGAAGUAGAGAAGCAAUAUAAUAGAAAUAAAUAAGCAGCCCUUUAAUUUGCAGACUACUUCACAGGAAGGAUUUAUUAUUAGUAUUUAUGAAAUAUUAAAACUAUUUCCAGUUCAUCCAUAUAUCAUAUAUAUGUAUGCAUAUGCUGAUAUACAUGUGGUGUUGUACUUUGGGGAAAAGAAAACAAAUGUAAUCGCACGUGUGUAACUUGAUUAUAUUAAUGAAAAAAUAUGACGGGGUUGCUUUCAA